UACGUAGGGGGCAAGCGUUAUCCGGAUUUACUGGGUGUAAAGGGAGCGCAGACGGAUGGAUAAGUCUGAAGUGAAAGCCCGCGGCUCAACUGCGGGACUGCUUUGGAAACUGUGCAUCUUGUGUACGGGAGGGGCAGGCGGAAUUCCUGGUGUAGCGGUGAAAUGCGUAGAUAUCAGGAGGAACACCGGCGGCGAAGGCGGCCUGCUGGACCGAAACUGACGUUGAGGCUCGAAAGCGUGGGGAGCAAACAGG
rnacentral:rRNA from 1 species